rnacentral:rRNA from 1 species
CGGUAGAGAGAAGCUUGCUCCUCUUGAGAGCGGCGGACGGGUGAGUAAUGCCUAGGAAUCUGCCUAGUGGUGGGGGAUAACGUUCGGAAACGGACGCUAAUACCGCAUACGUCCUACGGGAGAAAGCGGGGGGAUCUUCGGACCUCGCGCCAUUAGAUGAGCCUAGGUCGGAUUAGCUAGUUGGUGAGGUAAUGGCUCACCAAGGCGACGAUCCGUAACUGGUCUGAGAGGAUGAUCAGUCACACUGGAACUGAGACACGGUCCAGACUCC